rnacentral:rRNA from 1 species
UACAUGGGGUGCAAACGUUGCUCGGAAUUAUUGGGCGUAAAGAGCGCGCAGGCGGUCGUUCAAGUCGAGUGUGAAAGCCCCCGGCUCAACUGGGGAGGGUCAUUCGAUACUGAUCGACUCGAAGGCAGGAGAGGGAAGUGGAAUUCCCGGUGUAGUGGUGAAAUGCGUAGAUAUCGGGAGGAACACCAGUGGCGAAGGCGACUUCCUGGCCUGUUCUUGACGCUGAGGCGCGAAAGCUAGGGGAGCAAACGGG